rnacentral:siRNA from 1 species
ACACAAUCAGAUUUCAGACAACA